UACGUAGGGUGCAAGCGUUGUCCGGAAUUAUUGGGCGUAAAGAGCUCGUAGGCGGUUUGUCGCGUCUGCUGUGAAAACUCGGGGCUUAACCCCGGGCCUGCAGUGGGUACGGGCAGACUAGAGUGCGGUAGGGGAGACUGGAAUUCCUGGUGUAGCGGUGAAAUGCGCAGAUAUCAGGAGGAACACCGAUGGCGAAGGCAGAUCUCUGGGCCGUAACUGACGCUGAGGAGCGAAAGCAUGGGGAGCGAACAGG
rnacentral:rRNA from 1 species